rnacentral:rRNA from 1 species
GACGAACGCUGGCGGCGUGCUUAACACAUGCAAGUCGAGCGGAGCGGCGAACGGGUGAGUAAAGCGUGAGUAACUGCACCCUUCCUUGGGAUAACAGUUGGAAACGGCAGCCAAUACCGGAUAGUGGGAGAUGGCUCGCGUCCAAUCAGCUUGUUGGUGGGGUAGUGGCCUACCACGGCGACGACGGGUAGCCGGCCUGAGAGGGCGACCAGCCACCAUAGGCUGAGAGACGGCCCAAACUCGUACAGUGGGCAGCGGUGGAGAGUAUGGCACAGUUGGGGAGAGCCUGAUGCAACAGCGCCGGGUUCGUAAUGACGGUCUUCGGGUUGUGAACCGCUUUCAGCCAUGACGCGGUAGUGGCAGAAGAAGCACCGGCUAACUACGUGCCAGCAGCCGCGGUAAUUC